GAUUAGCUUAGUUGGUAGAACAUGAGACUCUUAAUCUCGGGGUUCAAGCCCCACGUUGAGCA
rnacentral:tRNA from 1 species